rnacentral:rRNA from 1 species
AAUAGGAUUGGGUGGAUCCAUUGGUUUGGAUAUCGAGGAAGAGCGUGACACAAAGCGAUAUUUGCGAUGUGGACCUGUAAUGACCUGCGAAGCAUCGAUUCUUGAAUGUAAUACUCUAAACAUUGUUCCAGAACGG